GAUGAACGCUGGCGGCGUGCUUAACACAUGCAAGUCGAACGGGAAUUACUUUAUUGAAACUUCGGUCGAUUUAAUUUAAUUCUAGUGGCGGACGGGUGAGUAACGCGUGGGUAACCUGCCUUAUACAGGGGGAUAACAGUCAGAAAUGGCUGCUAAUACCGCAUAAGCGCACAGAGCUGCAUGGCUCAGUGUGAAAAACUCCGGUGGUAUAAGAUGGACCCGCGUUGGAUUAGCUAGUUGGUGGGGUAACGGCCUACCAAGGCGACGAUCCAUAGCCGGCCUGAGAGGGUGAACGGCCACAUUGGGACUGAGACACGGCCCAGACUCCUACGGGAGGCAGCAGUGGGGAAUAUUGCACAAUGGGCGCAAGCCUGAUGCAGCCAUGCCGCGUGUAUGAAGAAGGCCUUCGGGUUGUAAAGUACUUUCAGCGGGGAGGAAGGUGUUGUGGUUAAUAACCACAGCAAUUGACG
rnacentral:rRNA from 1 species